rnacentral:sRNA from 1 species
CUUCUUUCAUAACAACUUCUUCUUCGGUAUCUUUUUCUCCUCCACCAUUGACCAUCAAACACGAAGCAAACUCCACAUCAUCAAUUUGACCAUCACCAUCGACAUCAAGAACUAUAAACAUCUUAUCAAUUUCUUCUGAUGUUAUUUGAGGAGAAAAAACGCGAAUCGCCUCUGCGAAUUCGUCCCAUAAAAUUUUUCCAUCUUUGUUUUUGUCAACACUUUCGAAAAUCUCUGCCAUAGACAUUGAAUGAGUAAUAUUAUGGUGAUAGAUAUUGAAUUUUUGUUUGUGAGAAAGUCAAAACCUUAGUAUUUAU